AGGACCUCGGGGGCGAAGGGGUUUUGUUGGGCGGGUAAGUGACACUGAGGGACGAAAGGUUAGGGGAGCGAAUGGGGUUAGAUACCCGGUAGGUCCUAGCGGUAAAGGAUGGAUACUAGGGGUGGCUUGUAUCGACCCGAGCCGUGCCGUAGCUAAGGCGUUAAGUAUCCCGCCUGGGGAGUACGCCGGCAACGGUGAAACUCAAAGGAAUUGACGGGGGCCCGCACAAUGGGUGGAGUAUGUGGUUUAUUUCGAUGCAACGUGAAGAACCCUACCAGGGCUUGACAUGUCGCGAAUCAUGGUGAAAGCCGGGAGUGCCUUCGGGAGCGCGAACACAGGUGGUGCAUGGCUGUGGUCAGCUCGUGUCGUGAGAUGUUGGGUUAAGUCCCGCAACGAGGGCAACCCUCGUUUUUAGUUGCGAGCAUUAACUUGGGCACUCUAGAGAGAUUGCCGGUGACAAACCGGAGGAAGGUGGGGAUGAGGUCACGUUCGCAUGCCCCUUACGCGUUGGGGUACACACGUAGUACAAUGCUCCGGACAGAGGGCAGCAAGCAUGAGAAUGCAAGCAAAUCCCGUAAACUGGAGCUCAGUUCAGAUCGCAGGCUGCAACUAGCAGGCGUGAAGGAGGAAUCGCUCGUAAUUGCACGUCAGCAUACUGCAGUGAACUCCUUCCCGGGCAUUGUACACACCGGCUGCCACGCCAUGGAAGCCGGUAGUGCCCGAAGUCAUUACUCUAACCUCUCGGGGAGGAGCAGCCCUAAGGCAG
rnacentral:rRNA from 1 species